CAGUCGCCACGGUAAUACGUAGGUGGCAAGCGUUGUCCGGAAUUAUUGGGCGUAAAGGGCUCGCAGGCGGUUUCUUAAGUCUGAUGUGAAAGCCCCCGGCUCAACCGGGGAGGGUCAUUGGAAACUGGGAAACUUGAGUGCAGAAGAGGAGAGUGGAAUUCCACGUGUAGCGGUGAAAUGCGUAGAGAUGUGGAGGAACACCAGUGGCGAAGGCGACUCUCUGGUCUGUAACUGACGCUGAGGAGCGAAAGCGUGGGGAGCGAACAGGAUUAGAUACCCCUGUAGUCCCUGUCUCUUAUAC
rnacentral:rRNA from 1 species